rnacentral:rRNA from 1 species
CCUACGGGUGGCAGCAGUGGGGAAUAUUGGACAAUGGGCGAAAGCCUGAUCCAGCCAUGCCACGUGUGUGAAGAAGGCCUUCGGGUUGUAAAGCACUUUCAGUGGGGAAGAAAGCCUUGGGGCUAAUACCCUCGAGGAAGGACAUCACCCACAGAAGAAGCACCGGCUAACUCCGUGCCAGCAGCCGCGGUAAUACGGAGGGUGCGAGCGUUAAUCGGAAUUACUGGGCGUAAAGCGCGCGUAGGCGGUCUGAUAAGCCGGUUGUGAAAGCCCCGGGCUCAACCUGGGAACGGCAUCCGGAACUGUCAGGCUAGAGUGCAGGAGAGGAAGGUAGAAUUCCCGGUGUAGCGGUGAAAUGCGUAGAGAUCGGGAGGAAUACCAGUGGCGAAGGCGGCCUUCUGGACUGACACUGACGCUGAGGUGCGAAAGCGUGGGUAGCAAACAGGAUUAGAUACCCCUGUAGUC